rnacentral:lncRNA from 1 species
UCUAAUAACAACAAGAUAACUCAUGUAAAAUAUACUGUGUCUGUAAAAUGUAUAUAGCUUCAGAACUUUUGUGAAACAGCACAGUUAAAAAUAUAUGGCAAAUAGAAAAAAUGAACUGGAUGGACAUCAGGAAUAGAUGGGAGAGGUUGAGGGUAGAGGAAGGAGGGGAAUUAAAACAAACACAAUAUAACAUUUGUAAAAAAUAUUGUGUCCAUAAAAUAUAUACAGUAUGUACAGUUGAAGUGGGAGGUUUACAGACACUUAGGUUGGAGUCAUUAAAACUCGUUUUUCAACCACUCCACAUAUUUCUUGUUAACAAACUAUAGUUUUGUCAAGUCAGUUAGGACAUCUACUUUGUGCAUGACACAAGUCAUUUUUCCAACAAUUGUUUACAGACAGAUUAUUUAACUUAUAAUUCACUGUAUCACAAUUCCAGUGGGUCAGAAGUUUACAUACACUAAGUUGACUGUGCCUUUAAACAGCUUGGGCAAUUCUAGAAAAUGAUGUCAUGGCUUUAGAAGCUUCUGAUAGGCAAAUUGACAUCAUUUCAGUCAACAGCAAAGGCCCUUGUGAAGAUGCUGGAGGAAACAGGUACAAAAGUAUCUACAUCCACAGUAAAACGAGUCCUAUAUUGACAUAACCUGAAAGGCGCUCAGCAAGGAAGAAGCCACUGCUCCAAAACAGCCAUAAAAAAGCCAGACUACAGAUAGCAACUGCACAUGGGGACAAAGAUCAUACUUUUUGGAGAAAUGUCCUCUGGUCUGAUGAAACAAAAAUAGAACUGUUUGGCCAUAAUGACCAUCGUUGUGUGUGGAGAAAAAAGGGGGAGGCUUGCAAGCCGAAGAACACCAUUCCAACCGUGAAACACGGGGGUGGCAGCAUCAUGUUGUGGGGGUGCUUUGCUGCAGGAGGGACUGGUGCACUUCACAAAAUAGAUGGCAUCAUGAGGGAGGAAAUGUAUGUGGAUAUAUUGAAGCAACAUCUCAAGACAUCAGUCAGGAAGUUAAUGCUUGGUCGCAAAUUAGUCUUCCAAAUGGACAAUGACCCCAAGCAUAC